CCCAGUUUCUCUCAUUUUCUUUCUCCCCUCCUGCUCCCUCUCCCUCCCUUAUUUUCCUUUCUUUCUCUCUUUUGUUUCUUUGAAAGAAAGUGGUGUGUGUAUUGGUAGUUACAUUCCUUUUGGCUCUCAUCCAAGUCUCUUUGAGGAAUGCGCUGCUUGGAGUCCCCUUCAUCCAGCAUUUGUCUACCUGACCAAUCCUGCCCUUCCUCUAAGGUAUCAGUAACUUGAGUACAGCACAGAGAGAUCUUGGAACCUCUCAUCCUGUGACGAUCCUGGAGAACCAUCUGCAGAGAUACAUCCAGAAGGCAGCUGCCUGCAAGCCAGAAAGAGAACCCUCACCUGGGAACUGAAUUGGCCAACACCUUAAUCUUGGACUUCUCAGCCUCCUGAACUGACCAUUUAGUUCCUACACAAGGGAAAUUCAGAAGGACUAAGGAUCUUCAGAUCCAUUCUUUGCCUUUCUUCUGCAAAGUAUGCUUCCCAUGCUCCCUCAAAUCAGGCCUAUGGGUAUGUUGGCUAAUCAGAGGCACUGAAGAUGUGCAGAAGGAAGGACCCAAGGUAU